rnacentral:rRNA from 1 species
AUGUCAGUGAUGACAUACGUGGCAGAACUGCAGGCUCUGUGGGCUGACCAGGAUAACUGUGAUCCCUUGGAACUCUAUGAUGCGGCUUCAAUCGAGUCAGGGCAUAAGUGGAUGGCACGCAGGCGUGUGCUGAAAUUUUUGGCUGGCCUCAAAGGUUGCUUUGAUGGCAGGAAGGCUUCCCUGUUGCACCAACCUAGUCUGCCUACCAUUCCUGAGGCUAUUGCAGCGAUGACUCAAGAGGAGGUGCGCCUAUCCCUUGAGUAUGCAGACAUGAAGGUUGUGCCAGCUUCGACAUUUGCAGUCACUGAGCGCAUGGAGUGGGGAGAUCCCACCAAAUGUCAUAUCUGUGGGGAGGUAGGUCACUGGAAGAGAGAAUGUCCAACUCGUGGCAGAGGCAGGGGAUAUAACAGAGGGGGAGCAGGCAGAGGUAGAAGUGCUAGAGGCAGAGGUGGAUACUCAGAGACCUCAUGGAGCCAGGCUUCUAGAGGUAGAGGUGGCUACUCAGGACACUCAGGGGGUCAGAGGGCUCACAUGGCCGUUGCAGGAGACACUAGGACGUCCAAAGGCAAAGAUGAAGAUGAUGUUGCCUAUGGAGACUUUGCUCACUGGGCCUCCACUGAUGAAGGAGCGACAGACGAGCCAGACGGUUGGGACUGGCACCAGGCGUAG